AGACCCGAAACCCGGUGAUCUAGCCAUGGGCAGGUUGAAGGUUGGGUAACACUAACUGGAGGACCGAACCGACUAAUGUUGAAAAAUUAGCGGAUGACCUGUGGCUGGGGGUGAAAGGCCAAUCAAACCGGGAGAUAGCUGGUUCUCCCCGAAAGCUAUUUAGGUAGCGCCUCGUGAACUCAUCUCCGGGGGUAGAGCACUGUUUCGGCUAGGGGGCCAUCCCGGCUUACCAACCCGAUGCAAACUGCGAAUACCGGAGAAUGUUAUCACGGGAGACACACGGCGGGUGCUAACGUCCGUCGUGAAGAGGGAAACAACCCAGACCGCCAGCUAAGGUCCCAAAGUCAUGGUUAAGUGGGAAACGAUGUGGGAAGGCCCAGACAGCCAGGAUGUUGGCUUAGAAGCAGCCAUCAUUUAAAGAAAGCGUAAUAGCUCACUGGUCGAGUCGGCCUGCGCGGAAGAUGUAACGGGGCUAAACCAUGCACCGAAGCUGCGGCAGCGACACUUUAGUGUUGUUGGGUAGGGGAGCGUUCUGUAAGCCGUUGAAGGUGUCCUGUGAGGGGUGCUGGAGGUAUCAGAAGUGCGAAUGCUGACAUAAGUAACGAUAAAGCGGGUGAAAAGCCCGCUCGCCGGAAGACCAAGGGUUCCUGUCCAACGUUAAUCGGGGCAGGGUGAGUCGACCCCUAAGGCGAGGCCGAAAGGCGUAGUCGAUGGGAAACGGGUUAAUAUUCCCGUACUUGGUGUUACUGCGAAGGGGGGACGGAGAAGGCUAUGUUGGCCGGGCGACGGUAGUCCCGGUUUAAGCGUGUAGGCUGGUUUUCCAGGCAAAUCCGGAAAAUCAAGGCUGAGGCGUGAUGACGAGGCACCACGGUGCUGAAGCAACAAAUGCCCUGCUUCCAGGAAAAGCCUCUAAGCAUCAGGUAACAUCAAAUCGUACCCCAAACCGACACAGGUGGUCAGGUAGAGAAUACCAAGGCGCUUGAGAGAACUCGGGUGAAGGAACUAGGCAAAAUGGUGCCGUAACUUCGGGAGAAGGCACGCUGACACGUAGGUGAAGUGAUUUACUCAUGGAGCUGAAGUCAGUCGAAGAUACCAGCUGGCUGCAACUGUUUAUUAAAAACACAGCACUGUGCAAACACGAAAGUGGACGUAUACGGUGUGACGCCUGCCCGGUGCCGGAAGGUUAAUUGAUGGGGUCAGCGCAAGCGAAGCUCCUGAUCGAAGCCCCGGUAAACGGCGGCCGUAACUAUAACGGUCCUAAGGUAGCGAAAUUCCUUGUCGGGUAAGUUCCGACCUGCACGAAUGGCGUAAUGAUGGCCAGGCUGUCUCCACCCGAGACUCAGUGAAAUUGAACUCGCUGUGAAGAUGCAGUGUACCCGCGGCAAGACGGAAAGACCCCGUGAACCUUUACUAUAGCUUGACACUGAACAUUGAGCCUUGAUGUGUAGGAUAGGUGGGAGGCUUUGAAGCGUGGACGCCAGUCUGCGUGGAGCCGACCUUGAAAUACCACCCUUUAAUGUUUGAUGUUCUAACGUGGACCCGUAAUCCGGGUUGCGGACAGUGUCUGGUGGGUAGUUUGACUGGGGCGGUCUCCUCCUAAAGAGUAACGGAGGAGCACGAAGGUUGGCUAAUCCUGGUCGGACAUCAGGAGGUUAGUGCAAUGGCAUAAGCCAGCUUGACUGCGAGCGUGACGGCGCGAGCAGGUGCGAAAGCAGGUCAUAGUGAUCCGGUGGUUCUGAAUGGAAGGGCCAUCGCUCAACGGAUAAAAGGUACUCCGGGGAUAACAGGCUGAUACCGCCCAAGAGUUCAUAUCGACGGCGGUGUUUGGCACCUCGAUGUCGGCUCAUCACAUCCUGGGGCUGAAGUAGGUCCCAAGGGUAUGGCUGUUCGCCAUUUAAAGUGGUACGCGAGCUGGGUUUAGAACGUCGUGAGACAGUUCGGUCCCUAUCUGCCGUGGGCGCUGGAAGACUGAGGGGGGCUGCUCCUAGUACGAGAGGACCGGAGUGGACGCAUCACUGGUGUUCGGGUUGUCAUGCCAAUGGCACUGCCCGGUAGCUAAAUGCGGAAAAGAUAAGUGCUGAAAGCAUCUAAGCACGAAACUUGCCCCGAGAUGAGUCUUCCCUGAGACCUUGAGUCUCCUGAAGGAACGUUAAAGACGAUGACGUUGAUAGGC
rnacentral:rRNA from 1 species